AUUGAACGCUGGCGGCAGGCCUAACACAUGCAAGUCGAGCGGUAGCACAGAGAGCUUGCUCUCGGGUGACGAGCGGCGGACGGGUGAGUAAUGUCUGGGAAACUGCCUGAUGGAGGGGGAUAACUACUGGAAACGGUAGCUAAUACCGCAUAACGUCGCAAGACCAAAGUGGGGGACCUUCGGGCCUCAUGCCAUCAGAUGUGCCCAGAUGGGAUUAGCUGGUAGGUGGGGUAACGGCUCACCUAGGCGACGAUCCCUAGCUGGGCUGAGAGGAUGACCAGCCACACUGGAACUGAGACACGGUCCAGACUCCUACGGGAGGCAGCAGUGGGGAAUAUUGCACAAUGGGCGCAAGCCUGAUGCAGCCAUGCCGCGUGUGUGAAGAAGGCCUUCGGGUUGUAAAGCACUUUCAGCGGGGAGGAAGGCGGUGAGGUUAAUAACCUCAUCGAUUGACGUUACCCGCAGAAGAAGCACCGGCUAACUCCGUGCCAGCCGCCGCGGUAAGAC
rnacentral:rRNA from 1 species